UACGUAGGGGGCUAGCGUUGUCCGGAUUUAUUGGGCGUAAAGAGCUCGUAGGCGGUUUGUCGCGUCGUUCGUGAAAACUCCACGCUUAACGUGGAGCGUGCGGGCGAUACGGGCAGACUUGAGUUCGGUAGGGGAGACUGGAAUUCCUGGUGUAGCGGUGAAAUGCGCAGAUAUCAGGAGGAACACCGGUGGCGAAGGCGGGUCUCUGGGCCGAUACUGACGCUGAGGAGCGAAAGCGUGGGGAGCGAACAGG
rnacentral:rRNA from 1 species